UUGAUAUUCAAUUAAAAGGGAAUCUGGUUAAAAUCCAGAGCUGUUCCCGCAACUGUAUACUUAGUUUUGCUUUGCAAAAUGCUUUUGAUACAAUUCUUGUCACUGGAAAAUAAAAUUCUGGGAAGACUAUUCAAAAGACGUAAGCCAGGAGACCUGCCACAUUCAAA
rnacentral:ncRNA from 1 species